rnacentral:lncRNA from 1 species
UUAAUCAUAAAAUCACUUCUUCUAAAAAAUUAAACUAAUAAUGAAAGAAACUCAUAAAUAAUUAUACCUCUGACAUAAUAAUCAUGAAAAAUAAAAAAUUAAAACCACAAAUAAAAUAGACAAAAACUUUUCUUGGCUGCACAACCGAAUGUUAGAGAAAGCAACAAAACUUCCUGAACUGUGGGCUGCACAUGUAUGUAUGUCUAGUCAUUAAUCAAUCAACUUUAAUAGGUUUUCAUGCUUUUUAUUUAUUUAAUUUAAUUUAUUUAUUUAUUUAAAUUUAUUGCUUUUGAUUUGUCCUUGUGUUUGCCCUAUGAAAUGCAAGACAAGACCCUCUCUUUCACCAUAUUUCAUUGGCUCUUCAACUUCAGCUUUCUCAGAUUAACUCAUGCUUCUUGCCUUUGCUUUCUUGGACCAAUUCUAUCAAAUCCCACUUCCAUAAAAUUUCAUCACUAAACAAUAAGCAUGCUCUUGUUUAAGACAUUUAUUAAUGUGUUUUUUUUUUAAUAUAAAUUUUUACAUCAUUUUUUAACAAAAUAAAUAAUUAUACUUUAAUAAUACACAACUAUUUCUCAAUAAAAAAAUGGCAUGCAUGCAAACAUUCAUGUGAUGAGGGGAUAUAUUCAAAAUAAGUAUGAACAUUAUUCACACUCACAUUGGACCACUACUAAUAUAUGCAUGAUAUAUUAUUAAUUAUAGUACUACUAGUUAAACUCUUAGAUUAAGCCCUAAUUUAUAUUUAGUAUAUAUUAUAUAAACAAGUGGCACUCAAGGAUCAUCAAAAUACUCAUUUUGUAGAAGAAAACUCAUUUUGUAGAAGAAAACUCGGGUGCAGUCAACUUCACGUGAAGUUGAUAAUUAGGAAUUGUUAAAUAAUUUGACUGAUUUGACUAAAUUUUUAUUUAACGGCCUUCAGUUAUCAACUUCACGUGAAGUUGACUGACUGCACCUCAAUUUUCUCCUUUUGUAUAUUGAGAUUAAGGACUAAUUAUUAAUUCUCUUUUCUCAGCAAAAACUUCUUCCAAGAAAAGAAUUUCACAAAUGGGUUUCCAACACGUGCCAUGCAACUCAUAUUGAAAAUAACAAAAUUAAAUUAAAUAAAUAUAUUCACAGAUCAAACCAUAACUAAGGUGUAGUAGUAGUGGUCCAGCAUUAGAAUAUCAUAAAGAGAAUUAAAAUAUUAAUCAUUAUAUAU